UUUCUCAUUGUGAUGGGUAUGUAGCUGGUUAGUUGGUUUUGCUAUUUAGAGUUUUGCACAAUAAGGAUUUGAACCCUAAAGGAUAAACAGGAUAUACUGUACAGAACAAUAGAUGUUAACCUACUGGAAAUCAAUUCAGAGCCACACAAUUGUCACAGUGUUUAACAACUGACAGGAUAACAAAAAGCUGCUGACCUGUACACACAGUGUAGACAUUUCCAGACAAACAUGGACUUUUUAAAUAAUAGAAACAGUCAGUCAUGUAGCAGACGCGCACACAUCUGCUUCAUUAAUUAAUCUGCAUAUCUAAUAUUUUGUGUUUCAUGUCUGCAGCUGGUAUGAACUUGUGAGAGGUUUGGGUGCAAACCUGGCUGGAUCAGGACAGUAUAUAAGGUGUUCAUCAACAGAUAGUUCCUCCCUCACUGAAAGACCUCUCCUCUCUUUAAUUACCUCCAGUGAAAGGGUUUUAGGGUUAUACGAGCAAGAGCACUUUGUUGUGUCUCUUGUUUCGUCAGGGUCUUUAAUUCUGUGUGGGUGAAGAAGAAAAGCUGUUCACAAGAAGAGCAAUUUAAUUGUUUGUGUUUUGAUGAGGAGAAAGAGGGCAAUUGUGUAAUACUUUAUAUUAAAGCCCAAGAAUGUAGUGAAAUUUUGUUUUGCUGUACAUAUGAGGUAAAUGCUUACCAGUCGAACAAGUCGAAAAAUCGAAAAGGGAAAACAAGAGACUUGGAAAGAAUGGUUAAUAAUUCUCAUUUACACAAAAACCUUUUUUAUAAUCAGAUACCUAUAAAACAUUUGCAGGAUGCAGUAAUAUCACCACUAACAAAACUAAAAGUGUGGGGAAAAUGAGGUAGCAAUACUGACAUUCUGAUAUACGUCAACAGUAGCUAUGGUAUAUAUUCAAAAAUUGUAAAGAAAAAAUAGUUUGACAAAUAAUCCCAACUCAAGGUCCACUUGCUAGCUUUUUUCCAAAGCCUUUAAUCAUGUCACAUGGUUUUUAAGUCAAAGUCAAAGUCAAGAAUGACCUUAGCAAAGAUAAAACUUGGGAAACAAAUGUUAGUUUUUGGUAGGUACUGUGAUUAAGUGUAUGGUGUGUAAAUAUUAGUUUGUUUUUAAUUACCUAAGGGGUACAUUAAUGUUGUUACCAGGAAACAAUUUUAAAUUAAAACACGUCUUUGGUGUCAAUGUUUUGUUGUGGUACGGCAUGUGUGCAUUCUUGAAGUUGUUAUUGGGAAACAAAACAAGAAGUCUGGGGAAAAAAGGGUAUUGAUGAAUCUAUAAUGCUGUUUGGUUAUAAAAUGAGGAACUUACUAAAUAUACUAUGAUAAUGGGGGAGAUUCUGAAGGAAGCUUGUGCAAAUAUAGUUGCCCAAACACACACGUGUGCAGGAUAUAUGCCUGAGUAUUCGUUUGCAUACUCCUGAAGAGUGGAGGGGUUUUGUGGUUGCGUAUUUGUCCUGACAUGAUAUGGCAGUAUAGCAUCUGUUGGUGAGGGCUUAAGUUAAGUAAGAUUGUGGAGCUCUUCAGAUAUACCCCUGUAGUAUGUGUAGUGAUAGAUCAGUAAGGAGAAAAACUCAUUGUUAGGAGGCUGCUCAGGAUACUGGAGUACAAUGACACAAAAAUGAUGGCGAUUUGGGAGGGGGUCUAGAAGCAGGUCUGCCCGUCCUCCCUGAGACUCAACUGAGAUCAAUGCUAACCUGCUACUCCCAGGCGCCCCAGAUGUUACAGUAGGAGAUGUUUGUGUCUCAGAGGGGCUGCCGGCAGCAGACCAGUACAAAGCUGAUGAUCAGAUAGCGUGGCUGUGGAUUGCCCAGUUCUCCCAGCGCUGUGACAGAUUAACUGGGAUUUAGGGCUUCUAUUCGGAUUCCCCACUAAACCAACACACCGCAAGAGACAGCAAAACACAGGAGGUCAUGCAGCCAACAGCAUGCUUCCCCUGGGCUGCUGUUGCCUUGACAGUGAAGCUCCCCUGCCCCUCCAUGUUUUAUUUAAAAUUGCUUCUUAUCCUCACAUUGUUUUUGCCAGACAAGCAGUGGAGUGAUGAAUAUGACAAAAAGAAAUAAUAAAGGAACUGACCAGA